AACAUCUCUUCAGCUUGGUGGCCCACCCAGUCCACCCAGCAGAGCGACCUGCCCCACACCAGUGGCUCGCAUGGGCCUUCUUAUCUCCUUGGCCCAGCUGAAUCUUGCGCCCGGCUAAUUUUUUGUAUUUUUAAGAACAUUUAUUAUCAGCCUAGGCCAGUGUGAACAUACUGGGUACAUUUUAGGAUUCAGUUUAUCUGUUUUGUUUAGGGUUGGUGCUAAUUUGGAAUAAGCAAACCAUUCAUGAUCUGUAUCACAUAAUUUGGUUUAGAAUCUGUCACCUUACCUGUUGCGGUCACUCCCUCUGAAUUUGGGGACCCCAAGACCAAGUUUUACUCUUCUGCUCUUUCCACCUCCAGUGCUAAGGCCUAGAGGGGCGCACCUUAAAUCUGAAUCAAUCCACAAAGCCCGACGGACGCCAGUGGCAGGGUUUGGUGGGAUUUUAAUAGUAACAUUUCCAUGGCAAUAAACCACUGAUACAUUUUUUGUUCUAUUCCACCUAGGAAAAACAAAGAUCCCCAAAGUCCAUUUCGCUCCGAGGUCAGUGGACACAGCUCUGUGACUGUCCUGUGCUGUGUGGGUCUGUAGAAGGGCCAGUCAUGGGCCAUCGAGCUACUCACAGCCAACUGCACCCAAGUCCAAGCCUGGCUCUGUUCCCAUACACAGAGACAGGAUGGGGGCUGCUGAUCUGGCCUGAAGCCUUGCUCUGGGCACUGAAAACGGGGGCUAUUUCCUUACCUGAAGAUCUGGAAGCAGCAUGUUGACAAAAGCACCAACUGCUCUGCCAUCACGUCCCACUGGGUGUCAGUGGGAAGGCCUAACCAAGGCCUGCCUCCAGUGGCUAUCAGGCAGACGGGCCAGCAGUUCCCCUCCAGGAGCAAGGGACCCUUCUUACCCUUUUGAUCACAUUUCCCUCUCUUAAAGGGGCACUGCUGUGGGAAGGGGUCAUGCCUUGGAUCCUACAGUCAUGGACUGUGGGUGAAACAGGGGCUCUUGACUCUUCACUUCCUAGCCAUAACUCUGCCCAUUGGACCACCCACCCUCCCUGCUGCUGGUCUCCUGGCUCACCCAUCAAAUCCAACUGCUUUAUCUAGAAAAUACUUUUCUCCAUUCUCAUUUCCCUUUGCUUUCCCACUCACCUCUGUUUUUGUUUCUGUUUUAUUUUGUUCCAGACACCCUUUUCAGGGAAGUAGAUCAGGGAGGCCCAAGAGAUUAGGCCUGGGUGGGCUGCUAUCGCUUAAGAACACGUCUGCCUCUGGGGCUCCUCCCUAACAGCUGGCCUCUGGAGCUGGGAGAUGCAGCUGCCUGGCAGUCUGCAGAGGCAGAUUGUGUUGUUACGUGCUGGUCACCGCCUUGAGCCUUAAACCACAGUCAGCAAUGAACCUGGAGGCAGGGCAUCUCUGGGGAUGAUCGACCGCAUCUGCUCAGGUUCUUGCAGGGCAGGGCAGGCAGAGAUGUGUGUUUGGAGCCAGAAAGCCUUCCUGCCAACCUGCCAUGCCUCAGUUUCCCUAUCUGAACCACCUUCAUAAAAACAACUUACGGCUCUCAGAGCAGCACAUUUGUAAAAACCUGAAAAAUAUAAAGAAAAACGUCACUCACAUUUCUCCCAUGAACAUUUUCCUAUUUUAUGUAUCUUUUAUGUAACUGAAUCACAUUGCAUAUACAAUUAUGUGUUCCAUUUUUAAACAAUAAGCUUCCCUUGUUUUAAAAGUAAUAAUCCAUGUUUAUUAUGUGUUAUUGCAUAGAAAUUUCAGACACAAAAAAAGAAAGGAAAAAUGACUCCUUAUUGCUCCAUUGAGAAAUAAUAAAUAUGAAUAUUAUUCUGAUAAAUAUCUUUCUGGUCUCUUUAACAAGCAUAAUA
rnacentral:lncRNA from 1 species